rnacentral:rRNA from 1 species
CCUACGGGAGGCAGCAGUGAGGAAUAUUGGACAAUGGACGAGAGUCUGAACCAGCGAAGUAGCGUGAAGGAUGACUGCUCUAUGGGCUGUAAACUUCUUUUAUAAGGGAAUAAAACGAGGCACGUGUGCCUUUUUGCGUGUCCUUUCUGAAUAAGGCUCGGCUAACUGCGUGCCAGCAGCCGCGGUAAUACGGAGGAUCCGAGCGUUAUCCGGAUUUAUUGGGUUUAAAGGGAGCGUAGAUGGGUUGUUAAGUCAGUUGUGAAAGUUUGCGGCUCAACCGUAAAAUUGCAAUGGAUACUGGCAGUCUUGAGUACAGUUGAGGUAGGCGGAAUUCGUGGUGUAGCGGUGAAAUGCUUAGAUAUCACGAAGAACCCCGAUUGCGAAGGCAGCUUACUAAACUGUGACUGACAUUGAUGCUCGAAAGUGUGGGUAGCAAACAGGAUUAGAUACCCGGGUAGUC